AUGUGUCCCUCGUCACACGCCACCGGCAGGGUCACAUGAGCACGGGGCAGCGAAAAUACGAUGCUUCUCACUUACACUUACGCUCACACGGACCAGAUCCAUUAUUUUUUUCCUGAUAACAAAGUAUAGUCACGCGGCCAGUAUCUGGCACAUCUCUCUGCAUAUGGGGAUCCCAACAGGGAAACGACAUCAGGAUCUGCCCUUCCGCCCAGGCGUUCUCUAAAAAAAGAGGAUUCCCCCCCAAAAUGUCUAUCCCUGGUGUCACCAUCAUCCUGCAACACUCUGGAGAUUAGUUUAGAUCAAUUUGAUGGUUUAUUAGAAGACCAGACAUGUAGAGACUGGCUGAUGGCUGUAACGGAAAAAUACAGAAACAAAACAGCGAAGAAACUGCUGUGACAAGAUAAGUGGCAUCUGUUACUUGAAGAUUCAGGCAGGGCAGCUAGAGCUGCAAAGUUAGACUGCUGAUGAUUUCCUGAGCAGGAGUGGAGAGGAUGGACCGCAGAUGGUGGAGCAGGCAGUCAGGCCUGUGAACUCUUCUGUUGAUUUGAUUAAAUGUCUGGGGCUCGGCUUUGGCAUUCUCACUAUUACAUGAGGGACUCUGGAUUCCUAUUGUUUUCCAAUCAUUGCCAUCAUUCACUCCUCAAUUAGAUAAGCUGCUUGUAGCCAAAAUACAAAUCCGCCAUUUAUUUGCCAUUUUUGAGCCGUGAAUGGGGUCGGGCCUGUUUGGACACACAUUUCUGUGCGUGGGUUGUGUGUAUGUGCGUGACUACUUGUGCCUGUCUCCCCUCCAUCCGUGCAUUGCCUCGCGUGUGUGUUAUUGUGCGCUGGUAUUCACGCCAUGCAGGCAGUGCUUUUGUCUUAUGCCAGCCUAGCAAUGCUCUGUUGAUUGACAAAGGGGGUAAAGCGAUAAACUGACACUGAUAUUACUGAGAUAAUAGACUGUUGAUGUUGCUUCGGCAAGGAGACCAUGCAUGAGAGUCGAAUGAGGGGUACUGUGACUAAGGAACUGAAAGGAAGACAUCUGUGAGUAACAGGCAGGUCAGGGAAUGGAAACCAGUCAGACUUCCAACCUGAGUGGCAUGUGGACAGUGACAGUGUCCAUAGGGACUGUUAUCUCCUCAUGGGGGAAGGGCAGAGGGGACCAGAUCUGGGACACUGAGGACGUUAGCUUGUGAGGGCACUGUUCUCCAACAAGUGACAUCAUUGCAUGGCAUGGUAUCCUUGUUUUUUGGUUGAAAUACAAAGAAGUUUACAAAGAUUGAGACAAGGAUAUUUAAGCUACAUUAUUAUAGUUAAUAUACUAAAAAAAGCUGCAUGAUAUCGUUUCAGAAUCGUGACUGAGAUGUGUGCAUGCAGAAUAAUCGCAUUGCGUUUGUCGGCACUGCUUUGUGUCUUGUUGACAUAUCCCACGGCAACAGUGCCAACUUAUUUGACACACUGCUGGUAGAUAACAACAACUUCUAUUUGGCUAUAGUUUAUUUAUGGUAAAUUUCAUCUCCUUUUUUAAUACUAAAAAUAUCACAGUAUUUCUUGCAGAAAUGUCACAUAUUGCGAUGUAAUAUCACAAUGUGAUUUCGUGCAGCUCUGUUUAAUACUCAGCUGUAUAAAUGUCAUUGAAUGUGUGCCUGUCCAGCAGGGUUCCCCAGUUUCAGUCCUGCAGGGCUAGAAUCCAACACAGUUUGCCGAUUUCCCUGCUCAGACACACCCAUUAAACCGGGUAAUUCGCUGAUUAAGGUAUGUUUGCAAACUGUGUUGGAUUCUGGCCCUCUGGGACCAGAACUGGGCAACCCUGCUGUACAACCUUGCAAGUUCCUAUUAAGCAGAUCAGAUCAUCUGAAUGCAUUUCUUGGUGUCUAGCAUGAGAUGACGUAAAAGGACGCCCCAGGUUUGGAACCCCACUGCUGGUGGUGUGAGGCAUCAGUGCCCACAGAGCCACAAGUCCACUCUUCACUGGUUACAUGUUCUGAAGAUAUGCUAAAUGCAGGAUGGCUCAGUUUAGCCGCUAAAUUGGCCGAAGUACCACAAUCUUUACUUGUUCCUGUGACAUUUUAAUCACCAUAGGUCACACUUUAUGUACAUCUGAGCCUUAUAAUUCAAUGACUGUGAAACGCAGAGAGACGCAUAUCACAUAUCCUUAACACUAUUAAUGUGAGACCGUGGGAGGAAGAGCAGUGUGUGGGGAAGGGUUUGGGCACUUUGGCAUUUCCACUUUGAUUGAUCAUUGGCUCCAUACCUGCACCUCGAUCAAUAGAACCCAGCUGGCACAGAAUGGACAGAUUGAUUGAGGGCUUUUAAUAGGGUUAGAUGUGUGGAUUUCGAAGCCUGAGGGUGUUGGCUUUAAUUGGACGGCUGGGUUAAAAUUGCAGGGCUUUGUGCUGCAGGUUAAGCCCUUUUAAAGGGGCCUUGACCCCUUUUGUGUUAGGAUCCCUCCCCCACAUUUUGUUUUGUACAGGAAUAUGCUUUGUCAAGAUCUGUAUUGAGCAGACCAAGGGCCUGAGCUGGUGCACAGGACAUGAAACUGCAUGUGCUUGCCAGUGCUGAUUAGCGGAAUUACGGCAUAAAGUGGCCCAGGGUUCGCACAGUGCUCACGGGCGCGCACAGUGCUCAUGGGAGCGCACAGUGCAUACGGGCGCGCACAGUGCUCACGGGAGCGCACAGUGCAUACGGGCGUACAGAAGCAGGCGCCAAUGUGUGAUGCUCUGGGUCCUGUGAAGUCGGACGAGGGGCAGCAGUCCAAGAGACCUUCUUGCUUUUGCCAAGGUUUGCGGACCUGUGUGGAAAGACCUCCCAGCCACUCAUCCAGUGCAGGACCUCAGUAAAUCUGGAGCCAUCCAGGGCAGCACAGGAAAUGAGUCAGGGGGACACCAACUUAUCAUUGGACAGCACAGAGCAUGAGGUUACCUCCAAGUUCUCAGCCCUCCUUCAGCAGCCCAAUGACAUACACUUAGAUGUUUCUCCACUUCCUUCUUUCCUUCCUUCGCGUUCUGGAAACUGGCUGGAUCACAUGUUACAUAUGACAAGCGCGAGCUCGGCACCAUGGACAUGGCCUGUUCCUCUCACAGCCAUGGUUCCCCUAUCAGCAGGACCUUGCGGCUGCGGUUGACACGCAGAGGCUGAGCGAUCUCCCGGCUUGGUCCUGGGCAUGACGUGGGAGAGGAUGCCUUGUCGGGCUGCUUGAGCAUCAUGCCCCGUGUUCCUGGACCAAGCAAGAGGCAGUGGGAGAAGGGCCUUUCCCUAGCAGGAACUUGAGAGUUCCUGCUGAUAAGGGAAAGUUUCACGAAACCUUGAAGCAAGCAUGCUGGGAGAAAACAAGAUGGAGCCAUUUCAGAGAAUAGUGCCGCUGUGCUGAUCGUUUCAGGACGGCCGACAUCAAAGCAUCAACGUCCUGCUGGCCACAGCUGUUGUGCUGAUGGAGACAGAGUGGGUGGAGGCGGCUGAGCCCAUGUGUCCUUGGUUUUCCAAUAAAGGCAGAGUGGACAAAGACCAUAAGCCGGAUCUAAGUUGUAAAUAUUGUAAACAGGUUCAGGAAAUUUCCAGGGAACUUCAGGGAACAAUGAGUUAUAUCCGGAAUCUUCCAAUGAAAUUUGAUAACGUUUACUGAUAUCUAGAAACCACCAGUAAUAUCUGAGUACAUGCCAACACUUUACUAAACGCUUCACCACACCAAAGAACUACCAUCCACAUCACAAAAAAAGAUCUUGAAACAUCUUGUCACUUUCACUUGUCAACUGAAUAUCUCAGGGAACCUUGCUGACAUCAUGUUCAUGUUACAUCAGUUCAUUAAGGUGAGUGAUGUUUUAUCAUGGAUGUCUUAAUUAUGCGUUAGAUAUACCCAGACCAGGACAAGUGGUUGAGAGAUGGAUGGAUAGCAGAUUUGAUUGUUGACUGACCCCAUAAAACUGAAAGCAUUUGGAAUGAAAUCAUGUUUUCCAAAGCCU